CGAUACGUCUACUCGGGAGAAAAGGGUGUGAGGCGAUGCGCGUUCCUCUCGAUAGAUCUUAGGCACGUCACCGCCGCCGCCGCCGCCGCUACCACCUCCUCCGCCGUUCUUCUAUUCCCUUUGGGUUGCUGGUUCUCUAGAAGCCUUGGUUUCUUCUCAUCCCGCCUCUCUCGCCAUGUCUUCUCUCGCUCUGCCCAGUUGCCGUUGUGUGUCCCCGUCGACCGCUGCCGCCGUUCCCUCCCGGUCGACCGCUGCCGCCGUUCCCUCCCCGUCAUCCGCCGCAUGGAUCAAGUUCUCGCUACCAUCGCCGUUCUGUCUAACACUCUUUCUUAGGGAGGAAGAUGGAGGAUGCAAAGGCUACUAGAAAGCAUGGGAGCCCAUCCAGAUCCGUCUUAGGAGCCCACCACUUCUGUUGUUCCGCACCUCGCCCUCCGGCAGCGACGCCUUCGAUCUUUCUCUGAGCCGAGCUCCUCGUGUGACUGUGCUCCGAUGGCGCAGCUUCAGGGGAACAGGUUUGUGAAGGAAAAGAAAAGAAAAGGAAUAAGCUGCAGUAAAAUUUUGGUGAAGAACAUUUUUCCAUAGCUUGUGAACACUCAAAUCACCACUUGAAGAAGAAGAGGUGGGUGCAUGCGCUCAUGGACCAGCUCAACCUGCAGGACACGGGCAAUACCGCGGCGAGGGUCGGUGCGUGUCAAUAGGCACAGACACCAUCCAUACCCAUGAGAACGGUCUGGUUCAGCAGCUGCAUGCACAUCUGGUGGGUGCGACCUCCAUGCUCGAGCGACGACGACCAGCAUGGCAAACAAAUAGGAGAAUUGGCUCUGUUCUCCAUAGGGAAUACAACCAUGAAUUGUUCCACUUUUGCAAAGUUUGGAGAUGGUCGAGAUCUGCAUGUGCAGAAGCAUUUCAAGUAAAUUAGGUUUGAAUGGCAGGUACCAUAUGGUAGGAAAUAUGUUCUAUAUGGUGGUAUUCCUGAGAUACAUAUUUCAUCAUAAGUUGCUCUGAAUAAAGUAAAAUGUGAUCUCAGGUAUUAGCUUACUCUUAUGUAAGUAAAAGCUGGUCACAACAAUCUAAUUUGUGAUGACCUACAGAAAUAUGAAAAAAGAGAGAAUGCGCUUGAAUAUUAACUGCGCUGAUGCCUAUUCAAUCAAACCAAUCAUUAUUGUUACCUUAAGUGUUUCCAUUAUAUGACAUUUUGUGUCUACACUUCAAAAAAUGAAGAGUUCAACAUGAAUGGGGACAUUAAAAAGUCCAAGUGAGGUGCUUAUUUAAUUUUAUGUUUUUUGGGGUAAACAUGAAUUCCAUCUUAUGAUUUGCACUAACAAAAGAUGCACCAGCUCAGUUUUUAUCCAUCUACAGAACUAAUAAAGUAAAGAUAUCCUAUUGUUGGACAGAAAUCUUGACAUAUGGAUUCUUAUAGCAUGAUAGGGAGCAGGUGCGGCUCCCAAAGCCAUGUUGUUGCAGUUUUUUUCUUCAGAUCUUGGAACAGCAAGAUCACUGUAUACAAUUGUCUUCAAUUUGUACAUCAAUUGGAAGAAAAAUCUAAACUUACAUCUCCUGCUAAGACUGAUAGGGUAUUCUUGCCCAGUUUAUAGGUCUUGGUCAGUUUUUACAUGUUUUUUUUAUUGUUUUAUCUUCGACAAGCUUAUAAUGUUCAGUGGAUUCAUACUUUGUCCAAAAUUGCAAAGGAGCUUAUACAGUGACCACAUGCAGAAUAUAGAUAUAGCUCUCAAGGUACUUUCCUUUGUUAUGUACUGCAAAUUAUUUUGUGUGAUAAAGCAACCAUUUUGAAAAUCAGAAGUGCAGACGUUGUCAUAGAAGGAUAACUACGAACCUUGCAUUAUAUACUAUUGUUAGUGCAAGCAGUGGGUUGAAGUUUAUCUAGAACAAUGUGUUUCCUUCGCAAAAAACUUGUGUCAUCUGACCAGCUGUUGUGGCACACCGCGCAACCUGUGGUGCUACUCAUCAUCGUUUAAUUAGGGAACUAACCAUUCAUGUGUUGCUACUUGCUACCUACAAGGUAUAUCUACUUAUGAAAAAUGUGGUGCACCUGUAAUCUAGCAUCUUCCUUUGGACCUGCAGGAUGUAGUAGUGCCCUUUAUUCUCUUAUCGAAAUAUAUUCAACUGUUUAUUCACAAGAGGUCUUUAACCAUUGUUUAUUUUUUGCACAUGUUUAUUUUCUUCUAUAUAAUGAUUCAAGUUUUCGAACAUUGUUUUGUUGCAAGACAUCUGUACAUCAGGCUUGAGAUCAAAAUUGAGUUGAGUUUGUCUGUCCAAUUCGCCUCUUGGUUACCAUGCGAGAUUAUGAAAUUUAUUCAUUAUGACCUGAAAUGUAGUUGAAUUCCAAUCUAUUUUAGAUUUUCCUGGAAUGCCUGAUGACUUUUCUUCUAGGAUGAAUAAAUUAAACCUACAUAUUUCAUGCCUAUGUAUAUGUGCGUGGACAUUACUAUCAUUCUAUUGCAAAAUUAGACGGGCACAGCAACGCGCGCCGUCAAUGAUCUAGUAGUUUCUUUAAAACAAAUCCACCACCGUGCUCUAAAAGAUAUAAGUGAAGCACUAGAGCAAAAAUUAUCACGCUCAAAGGAUAUAAGUGAAGCACAUAGAUUAUUCUAGCAAAUUCUAAUUGUUGUAAGGCUCUCCCUCAUUAAAGGAUUUCAGAUCUUGAUACUUAUUCAAACAGCAAGCAAAGCUAAAGGAAACUACAUA